CAGUAGCCACGGGAAUACGAAGGGGGCAAGCGUUGUUCGGAAUUAUUGGGCGUAAAGCGCGCGUAGGUGGUUCGCCAAGUUGGAUGUGAAAUCCCCGGGCUCAACCUGGGAACUGCAUCCAAAACUGGCGAGCUAGAGUAUGGUAGAGGGUGGUGGAAUUUCCUGUGUAGCGGUGAAAUGCGUAGAUAUAGGAAGGAACAUCAGUGGCGAAGGCGACCACCUGGACUGAUACUGACACUGAGGUGCGAAAGCGUGGGGAGCAAACAGGAUUAGAUACCCCUGUAGUCCCUGUCUCUUAUAC
rnacentral:rRNA from 1 species